rnacentral:SRP_RNA from 1 species
GCUGGGCAUGCUGGUGCGUGCCUGUAGUCCCAGCUACUCGGGAGGCUGAGGCAAGAGAAUCGCUUGAACCAGGGAGGCAGAGGUUGCAGUGAGCCAAGAUCGCGCCACUGCACUCCAGCCUGGUGACAGAGCCAGACUCUGUCUCAAAAAAAAAAAAAGGUUUUAUUUGUUUGUUUGUUUGUAUAUUUAUUUAUUUACUUAUUUUCGAGAUGAAGUUUCACUCUGUCACCCAGGUGGAGUGCAGUGAUGUGAUCUCGGCUCACUGCAACCUCUGCUUCCCAGGUUCAAGUGACUCUCCUGUCUCAU